rnacentral:piRNA from 1 species
UAUGAAGUAGCAACAAAAUAAUUUUAAGG